GAUGAACGCUGGCGGCGUGCCUAAUACAUGCAAGUCGAGCGAACGGACGAGAAGCUUGCUUUUCUGAUGUUAGCGGCGGACGGGUGAGUAACACGUGGAUAACCUACCUAUAGGACUGGGAUAACUUCGGGAAACCGGAGCUAAUACCGGAUAAUAUUUUGAACCGCAUGGUUCAAAAGUGAAAGACGGUCUUGCUGUCACUUAUAUAUGGAUCCGCGCUGCAUUAGCUAGUUGGUAAGGUAACGGCUUACCAAGGCAACGAUGCAUAGCCGACCUGAGAGGGUGAUCGGCCACACUGGAACUGAGCCACGGUCCAGACUCCUACGGGAGGCAGCAGUAGGGAAUCUUCCGCAAUGGGCGAAAGCCUGACGGAGCAACGCCGCGUGAGUGAUGAAGGUCUUCGGAUCGUAAAACUCUGUUAUUAGGGAAGAACAUAUGUGUAAGUAACUGUGCACAUCUUGACGGUACCUAAUCAGAAAGCCACGGCUAACUACGUG
rnacentral:rRNA from 1 species